AGAGUUUGAUCAUGGCUCAGGAUGAACGUUGGCGGCGUGCCUAACACAUGCAAGUCGAACGGAAGUAGCAAUACUUUAGUGGCGCACGGGUGAGUAACACGUAGCUUAUCUGCCUCAGAGAGUGGGAUAACCCCGCGAAAGCGGGACUAAUACCGCAUAAGCUCACGGACUACAGAGGUCUGCGAGAAAAGGAGCAAUCCGCUUUGAGAGGAGGCUGCGGCCCAUCAGCUAGUUGGCGAGGUAACGGCUCACCAAGGCAACGACGGGUAGGGGACCUGAGAGGGUGACCCCCCACACUGGGACUGAGACACGGCCCAGACUCCUACGGGAGGCAGCAGUGAGGAAUAUUGCACAAUGGGCGCAAGCCUGAUGCAGCGACGCCGCGUGGGUGAAGAAGGUUUUCGGAUCGUAAAACCCUUUUCUGUGUGACGAGCAAGGACGGUAGCACAUGAAUA
rnacentral:rRNA from 1 species